AAAAUUAAUGAUUGUUGAGUAUCGACCCUCGUCGUCGUUGUUGAAGGCUUCCUUCGACUUUGGGCAGCCACAGCGCAGCUACAAAGCCGCAAAACAGCAGCUGCACAGCGGCGCAGCAACGAGGUAGCAGCAGCCUCGACAACCUGCAAGGAAAAACACACAAAGAGAGGAACAAGGGGCGUCGAUCUUCUCGGCUCAGGUACAGCUCUCUUCCUCUCGAUCACGCACACACUAAGCCACGAAGAAUCACAAAGGGGACGUUGCUCUCGCCGGCACCACAAUCGGCCAACAAGCCUUACACCUUCACCGGUAGCACCUCCACACAAAGGAAGAACACUAAGCAAUUUUCGUCUUCACUACAGCCACAGACCAAGGGCUCUUUAAAUAGCCUACCAUAGAAGGAUCUAGAGAAGGAAGGUGAAGAGGUUCAUGGGGGAGAAGAAGCGCAGGGAUCACAGCCCCAAAAGGG
rnacentral:lncRNA from 1 species